rnacentral:rRNA from 1 species
CAGCCGCCGCGGUAAAACAGAGGGUGCGAGCGUUAAUCGGAUUUACUGGGCGUAAAGCGUGCGUAGGCGGCUUUUUAAGUCGGAUGUGAAAUCCCUGAGCUUAACUUAGGAAUUGCAUUCGAUACUGGGAAGCUAGAGUAUGGGAGAGGAUGGUAGAAUUCCAGGUGUAGCGGUGAAAUGCGUAGAGAUCUGGAGGAAUACCGAUGGCGAAGGCAGCCAUCUGGCCUAAUACUGACGCUGAGGUACGAAAGCAUGGGGAGCAAACAGGAUUAGAUACCCCCGUAGUCCCUGUCUCUUAUAC